CGGAAUUUGUAGUUGUAGAGAAUAGUCACACAUGUGUAUCAGUAAAUUUGAAGCCACAGACAAAAGUUGCAAACUUGUAGAUUUUUUUCUCUCUCCCACAAACACAACACAACAGUUACACCUUCUCGAAUCCUUCAUUGCAGAUACACAAAUCCUAUUCUACGAAUCACAAAUCAAGAAACUCGUACUCUCACAUGUUUUGCUACUAUUGCUGCAGUGAAUAUGGUGCAAAACACACUCACACACCUGCAUCAAAAAUGUGAAGUCGCGGACGAAUUUUGUACAUCCGCAAAUCAGUAUUUGAAUCCUUGCAAUGAGAUUUGCACACUUGUAGAAUGUUUUCUUACAUAUAUAUUUUUUUUCUUGGAUGCUUUUUCUAGCACAAACACAAUUACAUAAUGACAACGGCUUGAAUCUGCUGCUACGAGUCUCAGAUGCUGUUUUUCACUUGCAAAUGACAAGUUUCGCGCACUCUCCCUUUUGCACCACAUAUCUGUGUUACAAAUGGUGCAAAAGUGAUUUGUGCAUCUGUAGAGGCAGCGGCGGCCCUCUGCAGAGAUCAGAGAAGUUUGGCCAAUCAGAAGAGCUACACUGUAUCAGGUUUUUGUUAUUCUUUAUAGUUCUUCGGUUUUUAUGAUCAAGUUUGUGGAUCUUAUCGUCUGCAACGCCGAGGGUGUAUUUUGGAGCCAUCGCGACAGUGAUUACAUCAGCUGGUUUUAGUCUAUUGGUAAUGUCACUUGCAACGGAGGUGUAUUGGAGUCUUUUCCUGUGAUUGAAUCAUAGAGGUGGUAACAACAGGAGAUUGCUCCAAGCAAAAGCAGGGAUGCUGACUAUGAAGGGCAGAAUCACAAUAUGGCCAGCUGUCAAUUUUAUUGAAAUUAG